UUGUACUAGAUGGGGAGUUAGCGGUGCCCUGUACCCGCAAUCCGCUUUAGCGGGGUUGAAUUCCAUCCCGAGGCAAUCUAUCUGUAAUGCUGACCUUGUUAAGUAGUGUUGAUAGAUGGGUCCCAAGCAAUGAAAGCUCAUGAACCUCGUCAGAUUCGGAAGAAAGCAGCGAUAAGUGAUCACUUUUGUGUGACUUGGGUUCGCCUAUAAGGAGCCAACUGCCAAGGUAACGGUUGGAGAUACUUGUCGACGGAUGGUGUACAU
rfam:Peptostreptococcus anaerobius CAG:621 genomic scaffold, scf171